AGCAGCGUCCUCAUCCUCCCAGAACCCCGCCCAACCACUCCACCGAGCUCGAGGAGCCCCUGUUCCCCUCCAUUGCCACCAUGGCCGCCAGCAUCCUCCUCCUAAAUCCGCUCAACGCAGAGCUUCUCCCUCCACUAAACCACCACCAGAGGCCUCCACAACCACCCCGGAGCCAGCCUUGCACCUCUCCUACUCCUCCAAUGGCCUCUGCUCGCGACUCCUCCGGUGCCCGACGCCUUCCUCCGCCACGGCCGAAGCCCUCCUUGCUCCAGGGCUCUCCGGUGGGCGAGUUCCCUCCAUGCGGGUGCGGCCCUCUCCGCUGAGCGCUCCGGUGGUCCGAGCUCCACCGGAGCCGGCCGGGUGAGCGCCGGCAACCGCAGCCUCCCUCUGCUCCAUGGGCGAUCGAGAUGAAGACGACGACACCCCGCCCAGCUGGCCAGGCGGGCCCCGCCUCCCCCCUCGGCCCCACUUGUCGGCCUUUGGUUGUUGACCAGUAUGGGCCCAGGUGCAUAAGUGGAAGCGUACUCUGUCAGAUCCGUCUCCCCCUCUCAAAAGCGCACUUCGGUGUUAUUUAGGCAGGAAUGUAUUUUCCACCCCGGAAAGCGUAUUUCCUUUGUACUACGGCUGAAAGUGUGUUUUCCUUUGCACAAAGCGUGUUUUGACUGAAUGUGUUUUCAGUUUUUCCAGACAGGGACCUGUUGGUGAAGUUUCUUUUACAGAUUGGUCCCUAGACUUCAAACGUCCAUAUCUCCACGACGGUAGCUCCGAAUCAGGUGAAUCUAAAGCCCACAUCUUUGUCUCCUCAAGCCCAUUCUGCUGGUACCAUUUUCACUAUGUGUUCACAUACUGGAAAUGACCAUAUUACCCUUGCCCUUAUCUAGCCCCUCCGAGAGAGAACUGUUUCCGGCAAAUCUUUCCGCGAUCCUUGUGCACUUCUUCCCGGUGAGCUCUUCAUUCCCAAGCAAGCCACGACAGCCACUUGCAUAAUGGUCUUGCAGUAGCCAUGGUUUCCUACUUGAAAAUAAUAAAUUGUUUGUGCAUGUUAAUAUUUUAUGAAUCUUUACUCCUAUAAAAAUACGAGUUGAUGAUGAUGGUGUGUCUGCCUUCAGGCUAUAUAUACCGUCCGAUCUGAAAUAUAAGGUUGAGAUUGAGACUGAGACGUAUUGUGCCCAACCAACCUCCAAAACACUAAUAGUCCAGAUGUUUCUCCUUUUCUCCGGGAAACAGAUUAUUCUAGAACCCCUCCAAACCUCUAGACUAUUCAUGAUAUAUGCAAUUAUAUACUGAUUCACUACAAGCGUGAGAUUAUUAACAUUAACAAUUUAACAUGUAUAUAUGGACGUAUCAAAAGGAGGAAAUUCUAGCCACGAGUAGGAGUCGCCCUCCCACUUCUCAGGAAGAUGACAGUUUUCAGUCACUGCCUUAUUAUGUCAUAGUGGCUCAACUCAGCGACAUCCAUGACCGACACAAGAGGAGGGGGCUUGAAGUCCGGUGUUUGCUCCGUAGUGAAGCAUCAGUGACUAGAUUAUGCAUACACCGUGCAACCUACGGGCUCUUUUGCUAUCACUAUAUAAAGGGUCUCCAUGCUCCGGUAAAAGAACAUCAUAAACUUUUGCUAUCACUAUAUAUGCUCGUGAAUCCAUGCUUAUCUUUAUGAUAUGAUCAUUUUGCAUCUAUUAUUUAAAUGGUUACUUGCUAGUAUUAUUAUCAUGUUCUUUUCUGGUAAAUAUUCCCAAUGCUAGUGGUCAUGCUAUGUUCAUAUGUAGUGUUGUUAUUAUAAUUGUGAUCAUUGCUAUGCCAUGCUCAUGUGCAUCUAGGAGGGUAAAUGAUUUGUUGUUGCUGACAUGUUAAAUAGUGAUGUUGCUCACUCAUGCUCAUGUUGAUAUCCUGCUCAUAUGCAUUGUUAGUCCAUCAUGUUAUUGUGACCCGGCUAAUUACAUUAACGUUAAAUCGGACUUUAAUACAACUUGAACAUCUAUUGGCUGAGUCAUAGUGCCAUCGAAUCUAGCUGACCAGUGCAGCCACACUUGCCUUAUGGGGGGGGCUGAUUGGGUUUAUUGUCACACCUCUCGCCGGUGCCUCCAACUAGGGAAAGUUAUACAUGUGCGCUACCCUGAUCAGGUAGGCCGGUAUAAGCCUUGUGUGCCCGAUUUGUUUGCGCGAUUUUGUCCUCGUUUGGGACCGUUUAUGUUUUGCCACGACGGUGGUUGUUGGGUGUCAUGAGGUGACAUCGAGGCCACCCAUGACUUAGCCCAAAAGAGGAGUUGGUCGGAGUGGCCGGGAGAGUGUCAUGCAAUAGAUCGGUUUUGUCGGAACGCUGUUGGUACACUCAAAUGGGAGUACGAGGCUUGGGUUCCAUGGUGUCGGUACAAUGUACUAACCUCUGUAGAGUGUAUAAUCUAUCGAUAGCCGCGCCCACGGAUAUGGGCCCAGUUCGUAGUAGGUUACACUAUGGGUUAACAGUAAUAAAAAUUUGAAUAAUAACAACCCAGGUUCAAUGAGGAAAGAAGUUGGUUGAUCUUUAUGUGAUCAUGAGAGGAUCACAGUGGUAUCGUGGAUACCGAAGCUGGUUGAUGUUUGUGGUGGUAUGCGAUAAUCACGGGUAAGGAUCAAGCUUCUUGUGGUCAGGAAAUGAUUACUACGGUAUUGUUAAUACCAAGCUUGAUUUGAUCCUGAGGUGAUCGUGUGAUGUCCACGAUGGUAAGUGGUACAUGUGGUGGUUACAAGGUAACCACGAACAGAGUAAGUUGAAUCAUGAUAGUUUAAACAUGAUGCAUGCUAAUAUCAUCAUGCUCAUAAGUUCAUGCUAUGUUCAUCUCAUAUGGUUUUAGUUGUGCUAUGGUUAACAUGCUCAUGCCUUGUUCUUGUUGUUCUAGUAGUAUCAUGCUUAUCAUGGACGAUUAACGUGUAAAUGUCAUGUUGUUGCUUGUCUUGAUUGCUUUUGGUUGUUGUGAGCUUGCGAGUACAUUCAAAGUACUCACCUGGUGUGUCAUCCAGUUUGCAGGUCAUGCCGUGUUUGCUUGACUGUCGAGGAUCCCGAGUUUGUGAGCUAGGAUAAGCGUUCCAGCCAGAGCCCCUGCGGAGUGAUAUCCAUCGCUUUCGUCGUCAUUCCGCUGCUAGAAGUUAUUCCGCUGCUAAGAGUUGUUCUACUGCUAGCAUAGAGCAACCUGAGCAGGCAUAGUGUCGCCAUGCGGACGUAAUUUGUUGUGAUAUCGAAACCCUUGUAUCUGUAUCAUUUGUAAUGAAAAGUUGAUUUGUUCUAUGCCAAGCAGUGCCGUAUUCCAGAAGACUUUAUCUUUGGGCUGGAAUACGGGGUGUUCCGGUCUCUCUAAGCCGAGGUGCCACAGGAGAUUGUCGACAUCCCCAACAACGACGGGUAGUAGGCUAGCUUAGGUUUGUCUACAUAGUAGGUACAUUUUCUUUUGCAUGUUUUGUAUGGAUUUAAGGUGCUUAUCAAACUAGAGAAUACCCCACGCAUUGUUGUGGAAUUUUGUAUGCUGCAUUGGUUUAGGGUUAAAUAGGAAGAGGAAUGGUUUUGGAAGUAAAGCAACAUUAAAUUGCAGCCAGGUCAGAAGGUCAAGGAAAGAAAACCGGAAUUAGCGAACAUAUGCAGCAAUCAAUCAUAGUCCUUGUUAGAUGUCAUGAUGCAAAGGAAGCUGAAGCUCCAAGUGCUUCUAUGGAGCUUGCCUUGAUGUGGGUCGUGUGGGUGUGCC
rnacentral:lncRNA from 1 species